rnacentral:rRNA from 1 species
CCUACGGGUGGCUGCAGUGGGGAAUUUUGGACAAUGGGCGCAAGCCUGAUCCAGCUAUUCCGCGUGUGGGAAGACGGCCUUCGGGUUGUAAACCACUUUUGUCAGGGAGCAAUUGAGUCCACGUGUGGGCUUAGCGAGAGUACCUGAAGAAAAAGCAUCGGCUAACUCCGUGCCAGCAGCCGCGGUAAUACGGAGGAUGCGAGCGUUAUCCGGAUUUAUUGGGUUUAAAGGGUGCGUAGGCGGAAUAUCAAGUCAGCGGUAAAAAUUCGGGGCUCAACCCCGUCGUGCCGUUGAAACUGAUGUUCUUGAGUGGGCGAGAAGUAUGCGGAAUGCGUGGUGUAGCGGUGAAAUGCAUAGAUAUCACGCAGAACUCCGAUUGCGAAGGCAGCAUACCGGCGCCCAACUGACGCUGAAGCACGAAAGCGUGGGUAUCGAACAGGAUUAGAUACCCGGGUAGUCC